UCUUGUUUGACCAGAGACGCUUCUCCCAAAUCUUCCGGGGACCAAGGAAGCAUGUGCAAGCGGCGGGACCUGGAGGAGCAGCGAGGGGGGAAGAAACGCCGAGGGAAAGAGAGAGAAAGAGAAGGGAAGACUACAGCAUAGACACACACACAAAGCUGCCGAGCAAGUCCAUGCAAAGAGAACCAAGUCACUCCCAGUUGAACAGGGAACAAAACCAAACCGAGCAACAGCCAGGAGGUGAAACUCUUGGUGAUGAUGCUAAAGAGCUCCGGCUAGAUAGAUAGAGACGCAAGGCGCUGCUCCGCUCCCCUGUUAGCGACGGAAGAAAAUAACGCUCUGAUUCAUGAAGUCUCAGGGUUAAGCGUGCCCUUCCCCUCUGCCAUCCCUACCAGAUCUGCCGGAGAGGUUCAGAGGAUGGCGGUGCUCGAGGGUCCUGUUAGUAGCAGGGUUUGUUUCACCGAGCAAGCCAACGCAGACCCCAGCGUGCAAGAGGCAGGGUUGGCAAAGGCCAUUUCUUUCGGAGGGUCUGCAUGCUGAAGAAAACAAAAAGGACCUUUCGGUUUCCAAAUCGUUUAUUGUAAAUAAUAAACGUUAGGUAGAGGAAUUUUUUUUGGUGGGUUGGUUAAAUUUGCACUAUCACAGUCUCCCAAAUUGGAAAACAAAGAUGCUAUUCCAUCAUCAUCAUCAUCAUCACCACCACCAUCAUCAUCAAGGUGCAUUAUGUCUAGCGGAUCGUGGGGGGCGGGGAGAAGGAUAAAACUAAAAUAAAGAGUUGGUCUGAGCUCGUUAGAUAAAACACUAGCGGUGUGCAAAAGACAUUCACUGGAUCUGGGCUAUGGAGUGAUUGCCAGUGCUUUUCCUAACAAGGCGUUUGUGGGAAGGACGUACCCUGCUGUUAAAAAACAAAACAAAACAAACAAAAGACUGAAAUUAUGC